UUAAUGAGGCGAACCGGGGGAACUGAAACAUCUAAGUACCCCGAGGAAAAGAAAUCAACCGAGAUUCCCCCAGUAGCGGCGAGCGAACGGGGAGGAGCCCAGAGCCUGAAUCAGCAUGUGUGUUAGUGGAAGCGUCUGGAAAGGCGCGCGAUACAGGGUGACAGCCCCGUACACAAAAGCGCAUGUGCUGUGAGCUCGAUGAGUAGGGCGGGACACGUGGUAUCCUGUCUGAAUAUGGGGGGACCAUCCUCCAAGGCUAAAUACUCCUGACUGACCGAUAGUGAACCAGUACCGUGAGGGAAAGGCGAAAAGAACCCCGGCGAGGGGAGUGAAAAA
rnacentral:rRNA from 1 species